GAUUAACGCUGGCGGCGUGCAUAACACAUGCAAGUCGAACGAUGAAACUUAGUAGACUUCUUUGUUGAGACAGUAAGCGGAUUAGUGGCGAACGGCUCAGUAACGCCUGAGUUACCUGCCUUACACAAGGGGAUAGCCUUUUGAAACGAAGAAUAAUACCCUAUAAAACUAUAAAAGCACAUGCUAGAAUGGGCAAAGUGCUAGUGGUGUGAGGUGGACUUGCGUCUGAUUAGCUAGUUGGUGAGACAAAAGCUCACCACGGCAACGAUCAGUAGCCGGCUUGAGGGAGUGUACGGCAACAUUGAGAGUGAGACACGGCCCAGACCCACACGGGAGGGAGCAGGGGGGAAUUUUGCACAAGGGGGGAAACCCAGAUGCAGCGGCGCCGUGUAAUUUAGAAGGCCUUCGAGUUGUAAAAAUCUUUGGUAUAGGAAGAAAAUGACAGUACUAAACGAAUAAGCUCCGGCUAACUACGUG
rnacentral:rRNA from 1 species